rnacentral:lncRNA from 1 species
CCCUAAAGGGCUAGCCACGGUGCCGGGGCACUGAGCUCUCCAGCUGUCCUGUUGCUGGCGCUGUCAUGUCCUCUCCAGCUGCGUCUCCAUCGCGCCUUUCUCCUCUGCUUCCUUUUCCUCUAGGGUUCCAUUGGAUUUCCGGGGUUCGUGGGAGCCAACGGAGAGAAAGGAGGAAGGGGCACCUCUGGCAAACCAGGACCAAGAGGACAACGGGGGCCCACGGGCCCCCGAGGAGAACGCGGCCAGCGAGGCAUCACAGGGAAGCCAGGUCCAAAGGGCAAUUCUGGUGGGGACGGACCUCCAGGGCCUCCAGGUGA